ACAUAUCUGAAAUAAAUCGGGGAAAAAGAGCUACUCAUUAAGUGCUGCUUAAUUAAUAAAUUAAUUAAUAUAAUCAUGCCUAAGUUUGAAAUGACUGCUUAAGUUUACAUAUACUGUCUUAAUACAAAUAGCUAUACAACAAAGACUCCAAAUUGGAGUAAAAUGUCUAAAUUUUAAGGAUUCAUACUUGUGGAAAGGUGGCUGAGCGGCCUAAAGCACAUGCUUGGAAGGCGUGCACAUAUGGAAAUAUGUCGAGGGUUCGAAUCCCUCCCUUUCCGCCAUA